rnacentral:rRNA from 1 species
UACGUAGGCAGCAAGCGUUGUUCGGAGUUACUGGGCGUAAAGGGCGUGUAGGCGGUUCUUUAAGUUUGGGGUGAAAUCUCCCGGCUCAACCGGGAGGGUGCGCCGAAAACUGAAGGGCUAGAGUGCGGGAGAGGAGAGUGGAAUUCCUGGUGUAGCGGUGAAAUGCGUAGAUAUCAGGAGGAACACCGGUGGUGUAAACGGCUCUCUGGACCGUAACUGACGCUGAGGAGCGAAAGCGUGGGGAGCGAACAGG